rnacentral:rRNA from 1 species
UAGGCGUAAAUGAUGCGAGUUAAGUGUGGGGGCAUCUACGAGAUGGCCCUGUGCUGUAGGGUAGCCGUUAAACUCGCUGCCUGGGGAGUACGGUCGCAAGGCUGAAACUUAAAGGAAUUGGCGGGGGAGCACCGCAACGGGAGGAGCGUGCGGUUCAAUUGGAUUCAACGCCGAAAAACUCACCAGGAGCGACGGAUAUAUGAAGGUCAAGCUGAUGACUUUACCUGAUUUUCCGAGAGGAGGUGCAUGGCGUCAGUGACU